rnacentral:rRNA from 1 species
UACGUAGGUGACCAGCGUUGUCCGGAUUUACUGGGCGUAAAGAGCGCGCAGGCGGUCGUUCAAGUCGAGUGUGAAAGCCCCCGGCUCAACUGGGGAGGGUCACUCGAUACUGAUCGACUUGAAGGCAGGAGAGGGAAGCGGAAUUCCCGGUGUAGUGGUGAAAUGCGUAGAUAUUGGGAGGAACACCAGUGGCGAAGGCGGCUCACUGGACUGGUACUGACGCUGAGGCGCGAAAGCGUGGGGAGCAAACGGG